UACGUAGGGCGCGAGCGUUGUCCGGAAUCAUUGGGCGUAAAGAGCUCGUAGGCGGCCGGUUGCGUCUGCUGUGAAAUCCCGGGGCUUAACCCCGGGCGUGCAGUGGAUACGGGCUGGCUGGAGGCAGGCAGGGGAGAAUGGAAUUCCCGGUGUAGCGGUGAAAUGCGCAGAUAUCGGGAGGAACACCGGUGGCGAAGGCGGCCCCCUGGUUGGAUACUGACGCUGAGACGCGAAAGCAUGGGGAGCAAACAGG
rnacentral:rRNA from 1 species